GUCCAGACUCCUACGGGAGGCAGCAGUGGGGAAUAUUGGGCAAUGGGCGCAAGCCUGACCCAGCAACGCCGCGUGAAGGAAGAAGGCUUUCGGGUUGUAAACUUCUUUUCUGAGGGACGAAGGAAGUGACGGUACCUCAGGAAUAAGCCACGGCUAACUACGUGCCAGCAGCCGCGGUAAUACGUAGGUGGCAAGCGUUAUCCGGAUUUAUUGGGUGUAAAGGGCGUGUAGGCGGGAAUGCAGGUCAGAUGUGAAAACUAUGGGCUCAACCCAUAGCCUGCAUUUGAAACUGUAUUUCUUGAGUGCUGGAGAGGCAAUCGGAAUUCCUAGUGUAGCGGUGAAAUGCGUAGAUAUUAGGAGGAACACCAGUGGCGAAGGCGGCCUGCUGGACAUUAACUGACGCUGAGGCGCGAAAGCGUGGGGAGCAAACAGGAUUAGAUACCCUAGUAC
rnacentral:rRNA from 1 species